GGGGAAUAUUGGACAAUGGGCGCAAGCCUGAUCCAGCCAUGCCGCGUGAGUGAAGAAGGCCUUCGGGUUGUAAAGCUCUUUCGCAAGGGAAGAAAACGUGUGGGCUAAUAUCCUGCGCGGAUGACGGUACCUUGACAAGAAGCGCCGGCUAACUACGUGCCAGCAGCCGCGGUAAUACGUAGGGCGCAAGCGUUGUCCGGAAUUAUUGGGCGUAAAGAGCUCGUAGGCGGUUAGUCGCGUCUGCUGUGAAAACUCGAGGCUCAACCUCGGGCUUGCAGUGGGUACGGGCUGACUAGAGUGCGGUAGGGGUGACUGGAAUUCCUGGUGUAGCGGUGGAAUGCGCAGAUAUCAGGAGGAACACCGAUGGCGAAGGCAGGUCACUGGGCCGCAACUGACGCUGAGGAGCGAAAGCAUGGGGAGCGAACA
rnacentral:rRNA from 1 species